UAGUUCCUGAAUAGGAUGGAAGAGGGCACUGGAUCUCCUGAGAAUGGUGUUACAAUCUGUUGCCAAGAUAGCAGUGACUGAGCCAUAAUGGGGAUGGAAUGUAUUUAUAGCAGAGGAUUCCUGAAGAAAUUCUGAUCAGGCAAGAUGCCACGGGACUAUUCACUGGAGUGAUUAGAGACCACUUCUUGCACAUACAGUUGCUAUGCAACUGAUGGGCGUAAUUCAGUAUGGGCGGUAAAUGAUGUUGGAAGGGCAGAGCCACAUGCCUGAAUUUAUCAAAUUCUGCUAACUGCUGAUGCUGGAACAUGAGCCCUUCAUUCAGUUAAAUCUUCACCAGCUUCUGUUUUCCCUGCUGUCCUUCCUUCAUUGCCUAAACUUGGAUGACCUGAAACUUGAUCUGUGGAACCCUGCCUCUGUCUCCUG